UCCCUACGGGAGGCAGCAGUCGGGAAUAUUGCACAAUGGAGGAAACUCUGAUGCAGUGACGCCGCGUGCAGGAAGAAGGUUUUCGGAUUGUAAACUGCUUUAGAUAGGGAAGAUAAAAGACUGUACCUAUAGAAUAAGCUCCGGCUAACUACGUGCCAGCAGCCGCGGUAAUACGUAGGGAGCAAGCGUUAUCCGGAAUUACUGGGUGUAAAGGGAGCGUAGACGGUAAUGCAAGUCUGGAGUGAAAGGCGGGGGCCCACCCCCCGGACUGCUCUGGAAACUGUGUAACUGGAGUGCAGGAGAGG
rnacentral:rRNA from 1 species